rnacentral:rRNA from 1 species
ACAGGGAUUGCCUCAGUAACGGCGAGUGAAGCGGCAACAGCUCAAAUUUGAAAUCUGGCUCUUUCAGGGUCCGAGUUGUAAUUUGUAGAAGAUGCUUCGGGUGUGGCUCCAGCCUAAGUUCCUUGGAACAGGACGUCAUAGAGGGUGAGAAUCCCGUAUGCGGCUGGUGGCUUUCGCCCAUGUGAAGCUCUUUCGACGAGUCGAGUUGUUUGGGAAUGCAGCUCAAAAUGGGUGGUAAAUUUCAUCUAAAGCUAAAUAUUGGCCAGAGACCGAUAGCGCACAAGUAGAGUGAUCGAAAGAUGAAAAGCACUUUGGAAAGAGAGUUAAACAGUACGUGAAAUUGUUGAAAGGGAAGCGUUUGCAACCAGACUUGCGCGCAGUCGAUCAUCCAGGGUUCUCCCUGGUGCACUCGGCUGUGCUCAGGCCAGCAUCAGUUUGGGUGGUUGGAUAAAGGCCUUGGGAACGUAGCUCCUCUCGGGGAGUGUUAUAGCCCUCGGUGCAAUGCAGCCUACCUGGACUGAGGACCGCGCUUCGGCUAGGAUGCUGGCGUAAUGGUUGUAAACGACCCGUCUUGAAACACGGACCAAGGAGUCUAACAUUUACGCGAGUAUUUGGGUGUUAAACCCAUAUGCGCAAUGAAAGUGAACGGGGUGAGAACUCUUUAGAGUGCAUCAUCGACCGAUCCUGAUGUCUUCGGAUGGAUUUGAGUAAGAGCGUAACUGUUGGGACCCGAAAGAUGGUGAACUAUGCCUGAAUAGGGUGAAGCCAGAGGAAACUCUGGUGGAGGCUCGCAGCGGUUCUGACGUGCAAAUCGAUCGUCAAAUUUGGGCAUAGGGGCGAAAGACUAAUCGAACCAUGAACCCAGUUAUACUAGGUGGUUAAGAGAGGCUUCUAAAAGCUCUCCUAGUCCUGAUUUUUCAGGGCCACAUUGACAAAAUGCGGGGAAGUCCUGUUGAAUUCUGAACUACCGCAGCAAUCUUGAAAAAGGUUGUGCGCACCGGGGUAGCACCCUUGGGGAUGGUCAUAAAGUUCAGAUAGGGAUUAUCCGCAGCCAAGUCCUAAGGGCACGCAAAGCCUAUGGAUGCAGUUCACAGACUAAAUGUUAAUGGGCCAAUCUUUGGCUUAAGA